rnacentral:rRNA from 1 species
UUUUUUUUACGUUAUUCUUUAUUUGGGGAUAUUGCACAAUGGGGGGAACCCUGAUGCAGCGACGCCGCGUGGGUGAAGAAGCGCCUCGGCGCGUAAAGCCCUGUCAGCAGGGAAGAAAAUGACGGUACCUGAAGAAGAAGCCCCGGCUAACUACGUGCCAGCAGCCGCGGUAAUACGUAGGGGGCAAGCGUUAUCCGGAUUUACUGGGUGUAAAGGGGGCGCAGACGGCGAUGCAAGCCAGGAGUGAAAGCCCGGGGCCCAACCCCGGGACUGCUCUUGGAACUGCG